rnacentral:rRNA from 1 species
CUGAUGCGUUGUUGGGUAGGGGAGCGUUCUGUAAGCCUGCGAAGGUGUGCUGUGAGGCAUGCUGGAGGUAUCAGAAGUGCGAAUGCUGACAUAAGUAACGAUAAAGCGGGUGAAAAGCCCGCUCGCCGGAAGACCAAGGGUUCCUGUCCAACGUUAAUCGGGGCAGGGUGAGUCGACCCCUAAGGCGAGGCCGAAAGGCGUAGUCGAUGGGAAACAGGUUAAUAUUCCUGUACUUGGUGUUACUGCGAAGGGGGGACGGAGAAGGCUAUGUUGGCCGGGCGACGGUUGUCCCGGUUUAAGCGUGUAGGCUGGUUUUCCAGGCAAAUCCGGAAAAUCAAGGCUGAGGCGUGAUGACGAGGCACUACGGUGCUGAAGCAACAAAUGCCCUGCUUCCAGGAAAAGCCUCUAAGCAUCAGGUAACAUCAAAUCGUACCCCAAACCGACACAGGUGGUCAGGUAGAGAAUACCAAGGCGCUUGAGAGAACUCGGGUGAAGGAACUAGGCAAAAUGGUGCCGUAACUUCGGGAGAAGGCACGCUGAUAUGUAGGUGAAGCGACUUGCUCGUGGAGCUGAAAUCAGUCGAAGAUACCAGCUGGCUGCAACUGUUUAUUAAAAACACAGCACUGUGCAAACACGAAAGUGGACGUAUACGGUGUGACGCCUGCCCGGUGCCGGAAGGUUAAUUGAUGGGGUUAGCGCAAGCGAAGCUCUUGAUCGAAGCCCCGGUAAACGGCGGCCGUAACUAUAACGGUCCUAAGGUAGCGAAAUUCCUUGUCGGGUAAGUUCCGACCUGCACGAAUGGCGUAAUGAUGGCCAGGCUGUCUCCACCCGAGACUCAGUGAAAUUGAACUCGCUGUGAAGAUGCAGUGUACCCGCGGCAAGACGGAAAGACCCCGUGAACCUUUACUAUAGCUUGACACUGAACAUUGAGCCUUGAUGUGUAGGAUAGGUGGGAGGCUUUGAAGUGUGGACGCCAGUCUGCAUGGAGCCGACCUUGAAAUACCACCCUUUAAUGUUUGAUGUUCUAACGUGGACCCGUAAUCCGGGUUGCGGACAGUGUCUGGUGGGUAGUUUGACUGGGGCGGUCUCCUCCUAAAGAGUAACGGAGGAGCACGAAGGUUGGCUAAUCCUGGUCGGACAUCAGGAGGUUAGUGCAAUGGCAUAAGCCAGCUUGACUGCGAGCGUGACGGCGCGAGCAGGUGCGAAAGCAGGUCAUAGUGAUCCGGUGGUUCUGAAUGGAAGGGCCAUCGCUCAACGGAUAAAAGGUACUCCGGGGAUAACAGGCUGAUACCGCCCAAGAGUUCAUAUCGACGGCGGUGUUUGGCACCUCGAUGUCGGCUCAUCACAUCCUGGGGCUGAAGUAGGUCCCAAGGGUAUGGCUGUUCGCCAUUUAAAGUGGUACGCGAGCUGGGUUUAGAACGUCGUGAGACAGUUCGGUCCCUA